rnacentral:rRNA from 1 species
UACGUAGGGUGCAAGCGUUUAAUCGGAAUUACUGGGCGUAAAGCGUGCGCAGGCGGUUUUGUAAGUUUGUCGUGAAAGCCCCGGGCUCAACCUGGGAAUGGCGAUGAAGACUGCAAGGCUUGAAUCUGGCAGAGGGGGGUAGAAUUCCACGUGUAGCAGUGAAAUGCGUAGAGAUGUGGAGGAACACCGAUGGCGAAGGCAGCCCCCUGGGUCAAGAUUGACGCUCAUGCACGAAAAGCAUGGGGGAGCAAACAGG